rnacentral:rRNA from 1 species
GAUGAACGCUAGCUACAGGCUUAACACAUGCAAGUCGAGGGGCAGCGAUGGUCUUAGCUUGCUAAGGUCCGAUGGCGACCGGCGCACGGGUGAGUAACACGUAUCCAACCUGCCGUCUACUCUUGGACAGCCUUCUGAAAGGAAGAUUAAUACAAGAGUGGCAUCAGUGAGUCCGCAUGUUCACAUGAUUAAAGGUAUUCCGGUAGACGAUGGGGGAUGGCGUUCCAUUAGAUAGUAGGCGGGGUAACGGCCCACGUAGUCUUCGAUGGACUAGGGGUUCUGAGAGGAA